UUAAACCUCCCACAACGUCACAAGAUUAAAGCAAAAACUAACGAAAAAUCUGUUAUUCAUCUCGUCUUUGAAUCUCGAGAAUGAGAAUAUAUUAAUUCAAAGUUUCCCAAUAAAUUAUCUGGGCUCUUACCGCACUAAUAAUAAGCAACCGAUUACUCGAAUACAGCCAAGUCUGGCCGACGAUACAAAACUACUUGGUGCAAUAAAAAAAAACAAUAAUGAAUUCUUAAAAAAAAAACAUUCGUCAUAAGAUGACAUAAGCAAAACGAAAAAACUAUGCAGCUCUAGACAUUUUGGAAAGAACGCGAGGAGCGAAGUUGUGUGAAUUGUUUUUUUUGUUAAUUUACCACUACUUUAGGUUAAAACCUCAAUAGAAGAUUUAGGUUCUGGACUGGAGACCAUGUACUGGUAAGUGCAUCGUUGGGUGUCCCGCUGCCCGGUGGACCGAUGAUUUGCGGUGAUGUGCUGGAGAAGAUUGGAUGCGGGAGGUGGAGGAUCGCUGAUUGUGGCGGACUAUGGGAGAGGCCUAUAUCCAGCGUGGAGAGAUACAGGCUGAUGAUGAUGAUGAUGAUGAAUGGAAUUGUAGUUUGUUGUAUUUAAAUUUUGCAUGCUUACAAAUUUGAAAUUAAUAUUCGACUAAAAUCAGAGAUACCUCAAGAUUUCGAUCAAUUACAAUUAUAUAAUACUUCUAAUUUUUAUUUUAUUAAA